CACGGUGAGAGGAUGGAUGGAUGGAUGGAUGGGGGGCAGAUGGGGGUGGUAUGUGCGAGCCUCCCCUCCUCGUACCUCCACCUCCCGGGUCAACAAUGAGCCGAGGUCGCAGAGCAGCAGCACAAGUGGCUGCAACAAUGUGAGAGGGAGUCUGCAGCCCGGCGUCACCUCAGGGCCUCGGCUGGCAUGCUGAUCAGAGGAUUAGGCCUCCGAGUCAAGAGCAGGAAGGCAUGCAGGGAACAUGAGGUGGUUCCAAAGUGAAGAUCUUGAUGGAGAACGCUCAGUCACCUUUAGAUUUAAACUUCAACUUUGGAAUGACCAGAAGGAUCCACCUGAGGAUCUGAGGCUGCAGUGGGAUCAUACGGGGUCAACAGAUCCUAAAUUUUUUGAACUCUGAGGCUCCUGGAUUUACUGCAUUUGUGGACUUCAGAAAAAGCAUCUUAAGAUAUGUCUGCAUCCAUCCCAGGAGCCUCCAACUUUCUCUGUUGCUGUUCAGAAAAGACUAAACAAAGUGCAGAGGAAGUAGAAGCUACACGUCUACAAAAGUUUUUGAACUUGAACUCUGAGGUCCCUGAAUUUGCUGAAUUUGUGAACUCAAGAAGAAGCAUUUUAAGGUAAAAACACACAAAUGUUUCUGCUUAUGAUGUAAAUGCUCAUUUGUGUAGCUUCAAUUGGCAGAAUAUGUAUUGGGACAACACAUUUCCUUCCAUAACGUCUUACUUCCUUCAAAUGAAUCAUUGAAAACUUUCUGCAACUAACUAUAAUUGAUAAAAGCCACGGUUAUACUGACAGGGAUGUAAACUUCAGAGACUUCCUCAGAUGGUCGCUGUACCUCGUUAACGUUGCCGUUAAACCUCCAGUAAAGCGUUAAUGCAGGAGAGCUGAAUGUGAAACUAAGUGGGAGACAAACUCACACAGUAACAGCAGUGGUUGGAGGCAGGCGGCAUCUCACGUUCCUCACUACAGAAUUCAACAAAAGCGAGAAUUUUGCUUCAUUUCGUUCCAAGAUUUGGCAGAGAAAAGGAUGGAGGGGGAGAGCCAGGACAUUAUUCAUGUCUUUCAGCUCCAGACAGAAAGAGAAACCUUCUCUCAUGUUCUUCCACCCUCCUCUCCUUUCUGCUUUUUUUUUUUUUUUUUUGUUCCUUUUCUUUUUUUAUUUUGGAGGCAGAUUAGCAGGAUUAAGUAUGGCUCACAUAUGCUCCUCCUCACUAUUGGUAUUCACUGCUGCACCGGCCCAGCGCCACCCAGCCUGACGGACAGAGACGGAGACGACGGCGGUGAGGAGUGUCGAUGCUGAGAGUCACAGUUAGGAAAUGUUAAUAACGCCGCUGUUCGCAUACUUUUGUCUUCUUCUUUUUUCUCCCAGUUUGGCUUUCAGUCAUUCUGAAGUACAGAUUUCUAAAGUUGAGUGUUUCAGCGACACUGAAAGCUCAGAAAGAAAUGGUUUUCCCAGUUUGGUGUGGAAGAAUUUAACCGGUCUGCACAAAGCCCCGUGGGGAAGUGGGUGAGAUCUGAUCAGCAUCAGCAGCACUAAAGCUCUAGAGGCUGAAUGGGAGAAAAUCCCUGCAGCCGAGUCCAGAAAUCUGGUGGAAAGCCUGAAACCAGAAAACUGGAGGUUGUUAAAGAUGACAUUUAUGCCCGAGAGCUGAGAAUACAUGUGUAACGUCAUUAUUAGCUUUAAAAUCAGAUAUAGGGGAGAAAGUAGGUUAUAGAUAACUGCACUCUGUCAGAUUCCACCUCUUUUUCAAGAUUUUGACCUUUUUAUUAUGUUUUUUAUCAGGUGUUUGAUGGUGUUAAAAUAUCUUUAACCAGAUGUGGUAUAACUUCACUGCAAACCGCUGGAUAGAGGGGUGAAAUGCACAUUUCUACCUAUAUAGAAAACGGUUUUAUUCAGCUUGUUGGGACCCAAAUGAGCUCAAAUGUUAGCAUCACCAGUCAACUUACAGGAAGUUUGGGAAAAUCUACACUUAAAACAUCCCUACAGCUAAGCUCAUAAAUCUAGUGGAAAGCCUGAAACCAGAAGACUGGAGGCAGAUUUAUGCCUGUGAGCUGGAAAUACAUGAAUGUAAUGUCAUUAUUAGUUUUAACCCUGAGAUGCUCCAGUGAUUAGACCCUAUACUCAUCCUUUAGUGGGUCAAAAAUGAGUAAUGACAGACUUUAGUAACCCCCACAGAGAAAUUCUGUAAUAUAUACAGGGUUUUAUAUAAUAUGGCUGUUAAAGAGCCCCCUUGUCUUAAAAAUUGUGUUCUUUUUAUUAAUUUAUAUAUUAUAUAUUUGACAAUUCUAGAAUGUUGGUGUAAUUUUAUUACAAACUGAUGGUGAAAAGUAGU